UUGACCACUGCCACACAGAAAAAGACAGAACUCAAGAAAAAUAAUAUUACAAGUUGACUGCUCUACAAGAUACAACAUAAAUCUUAGGUCAGAAUUUCAUCACUUUUGGCACCAGGCCAGCACACUGUUAAUUGAACAAAAAAUGAGAACAAAAGCACAGAUCCUAAAACUUAAUUUCUUCCCCAAUGUAAUUCACUAUACCCUUUAAAUAUAAGGUAUUCUUUUCACCAAUAUAAUUUUUCAGCUAUUGGGGCAACUUUUUCUUACAAGGGCUAACAUAGAAUGGGUAGGACUCAUAAAUAUGAAACAAAGAGGAGGAUAGUCAGGUAAAGUAGGGAGGAAGGAAGCAAUUAAAAAGUAUUUUCCUUCAAAUGAAAUAAUUUUACAGUGUACUUGUUAAUAUCAAAUCUCUGAAUGAAACAUACAUCUAACAAGUUCAUGUUCUUUUUAUGAGUGCCUUCAGCCAUCAGGCUAACAUUGUUCUCUUCAAAUAUUGUUUUACACUCUGCAAAUGGAAAUAAAGUACACCCAUACACAAAAAGGAGUGUUCCUUCAAAUUCCUAAGUUCAUAGCAUUCCUAACCUGCCCCAAUGAUUCUGGGUAGAAUUUUAUUUUUUGCAGCAAUGAUUUGCCCUAAUUUUGUAAUAAAAGAAAUUUUUUAUUUUUUCCACAUCAAGGAGCAGAUAAGUAUUUGAAAGAAACAACGACUUUCAUAAUCGAGAUGUUUAUAUUUCUGUCAUCUAAAAAUGAGCUCUGCUGGUUCUGCUAUAAGCAGUUGGUUUAAGUAGAAUAAAAACAACAUAGUAACUUUCUAAAUAAAGCUUAACUGGGAUUCAUGAAAUGUCUACCCAUUCUUUCCUCAAAUAGCCAAAUAAAUGAAGAAUUUCUUAUCCACAUCACCUGCUAAGGCAAAAAGAGGAAAACAUUCUGGGGUCCUGAUUUGAGGGGGCCACAAUGGAGAUUUUCAAAUGAUUUAUCACAUAACCAAUAAAAGGAAAUGGUGACUGGUCAGAGGUUAAAACAUAACAAACAGGAAUAGGGAAAACAGAGGCAAAACAUCACAGAGGUAGAAAUAUAAAGGAAAAUUAUGAGUAUUUAAUAUUCAUUUCUAAAACAUCAUUCUGAAUGAUCUACUCAAAUAAAAAUGUUUUGCUUCUGA